GCGCUCCCUCAGGCGCAGCCAUGGCGGCGGCGGCGGCGUUGGCGUUGCUCGUGACCCGCGGUGGAGGGGUGCCCAGGGCACGGGCCCUGGGGUCCCUCCGCCGGCUGCACACGGUGUACCAGACGGUGGAGCUGCCGGAGACGCACCAGAUGCUGCGCCAGACGUGCCGGGACUUCGCCGAGAAGGAGCUGAUGCCGCUCGCGGCUGAGCUGGACAGGGAGCACCGCUUCCCGGCCGAGCAGGUGAAGAAGAUGGGUAGCCUAGGGCUGCUGGCUGUGGAAGUGCCAGAGCAGUUCAAAGGAGCGGGCCUCGACUACCUGGCCUAUUCCAUAGCUGUGGAGGAGAUCAGCAGGGGCUGUGCAUCCACAGGUGUCAUUGCCAGCGUCAAUAAUUCUCUGUAUUUAGGGCCAAUACUCAAGUUUGGUUCUGAGGAACAGAAGCACAAGUGGAUUUCUCCCUUCACCAGUGGGGACAAGAUAGGAUGUUUUGCUCUUAGUGAACCAGGGAACGGCAGUGAUGCGGGUGCAGCAUCCACAGUGGCACGUCUGGAUGGUGACGAGUGGGUGCUGAAUGGCACCAAGGCCUGGAUCACCAAUGCCUGGGACGCCUCGGCCACCGUAGUGUUUGCCACUACAGAUAAAUCCCUGAAGCACAAGGGCAUUAGUGCAUUCCUUGUUCCUAUGCCUACUGCGGGGCUGUCCCUGGGGAAGAAGGAAGACAAGCUGGGCAUCCGAGCCUCUUCCACUGCCAACCUGAUAUUUGAGGACUGUCGGAUACCCAAGGCCAACUUGCUGGGGCAGCUAGGAAUGGGCUUCAAAAUUGCCAUGCAAACUCUGGAUGGAGGAAGGAUUGGCAUCGCCUCUCAGGCUCUGGGAAUAGCUCAGGCAGCUCUGGACUGUGCUGUGGAUUAUGCUGAAAAGAGAAUGGCGUUUGGGUCGCCCAUCACAAAGCUGCAGGCAAUUCAGUUUAAGUUAGCAGACAUGGCUGUGGCAUUAGAGAGUGCGCGCUUACUGACCUGGAGAGCUGCUAUGCUGAAAGACAACGGGAAGCCCUUCACAAAGCUACAUCCUCAGUGAUGUUUUCCUUCCCAAAGGAAGCGGCUAUGGCCAAGCUGGCUGCAUCAGAAGCUGCAACAAACAUCGCUCAUCAGGCCAUCCAGAUCUUGGGUGGUAUGGGUUAUGUGACAGAGAUGCCAGCAGAACGUCAUUACCGUGACGCUCGUAUCACUGAGAUCUACGAGGGAACCAGUGAGAUCCAAAGACUGGUGAUAGCAGGUCAACUGCUGAAGGCCUACCGUAGCUGAAGAACCUUAGAGCAAGAUACUGCCCCUAAGUGCCUCCUAACAGCAAUCCAAGUGCUGAGGAUCAUGGUGGAAGUUUCCCUCACUAAUGAGUAAUUGACCUUAAAAUGUGCUGAUUCUUCUCCGGAUGAAGUAUGGUGCAUGGAAGACUGUAUCCCAGUGUGUAAGCAAAUGGCCAUGAGUGCAGGAGGGAGGAAGCAGUUCAUGGCUGCUUUUCCUAACACGGUGUGUUGUUUUGUUUCAGUAGCACAGGGUGACUGUGCUGUUCAGCUGCACUCCUUCUGCAUUUCACAGUACUUCCUUUGCAAGGUUUUGUCAAUGAGCAGUGUGAUAAGCAGUGCCAGUGUUACAGAUGUGACCCCUGUGCACUCUUCCUGGGCUGCUGGUUAUACUGCCACUCUUGUCAGCUCCUGUAGUUCAGGGAUGCAGCUGUGGUGAGCUCCCUGUUCAAUGCAGGCUGUACUGAGACCUGCUGCAGCAGUGCACUCUUCCCCCACCUCCAGCAGGAGAGGAGCCAGAAUGGAGGACACAGGCACUUCCUACGCACAGAAGGCUCUUACUCAGACUAUGGUUGCUGCGUACAGGGAUGUAAAAGCAAAGGUCAGAAAAAAACCACUAGCUUUUGUAGUGUGAGCCCCUCAUGGAUGGAGCUGUAAAAAGCAAAGAAGAGAGAAGCUGCAGUGGCUGAGACAGAUUAAGAAAAAGAAAGUGAAUGUUCCACAGACUGCUUUUACUGUAUCAGCAACUAUCUAACAGGACAGAAAGUGCAUGCAGUGGCAGUAACAGCUUUUGAUCUCUAUGCAUUUUUUGGCAACAAGUGGGAAAUGAACAGAUGAUGCCAAAAACCUUACCAGGAAGCUCUGGCAGUAACACACAUCCUCCAUCAGUUAUCUUCAGCAAAAAAUUAACUUUCUGAAGAUUAAGCCAAAAGAAAAGCUCUAAACUCAGGAAAAGGUGGACAGGAUUAGGACUACAAUCUGCAUGGCCCUUUUCCAGACAAUGAGUACAACAGCUGUAAAUGGUUAUUUCCCUGCAGUGUCAUUUAUUUAAUUUAUGUGGCAAGAAAACAGCAAGAUUAUAUUACAUACAAGAGAACAGAAGAUGAAUAAAACCUGAUUUUAAAAACUU